rnacentral:rRNA from 1 species
AGAGUUUGAUCAUGGCUCAGGACGAACGCUGGCGGCGUGCUUAACACAUGCAAGUCGAACGGAAAGGCCCUUCGGGGUACUCGAGUGGGGAACGGGUGAGUAACACGUGGGUGAUCUGCCCUGCACUUUGGGAUAAGCCUGGGAAACUGGGUCUAAUACCGAAUAGGACCGCAUGCUUCAUGGUGUGUGGUGGAAAGCUUUUGCGGUGUGGGAUGGGCCCGCGGCCUAUCAGCUUGUUGGUGGGGUAAUGGCCUACCAAGGCGACGACGGGUAGCCGGCCUGAGAGGGUGUCCGGCCACACUGGGACUGAGAUACGGCCCAGACCCCUACGGGAGGCAGCAGUGGGGAAUAUUGCACAAUGGGCGCAAGCCUGAUGCAGCGACGCCGCGUGGGGGAUGACGGCCUUCGGGUUGUAAACCUCUUUCAGUAUCGGCGAAGCUCCAGGAUUUUUCUUGGGGUGACGGUAGGUACAGAAGAAGCACCGGCCAACUACGUGCCAGCAGCCGCGGUAAUACGUAGGGUGCGAGCGUUGUCCGGAAUUACUGGGCGUAAAGAGCUCGUAGGUGGUUUGUCACGUUGUCCGUGAAAACUCACAGCUUAACUGUGGGCGUGCGGGCGAUACGGGCAGACUGGAGUACUGUAGGGGAGACUGGAAUUCCUGGUGUAGCGGUGGAAUGCGCAGAUAUCAGGAGGAACACCGGUGGCGAAGGCGGGUCUCUGGGCAGUAACUGACGCUGAGGAGCGAAAGCGUGGGGAGCGAACAGGAUUAGAUACCCCGGUAGUCCAA